rnacentral:rRNA from 1 species
UAGGGAAUCUUCCACAAUGGACGCAAGUCUGAUGGAGCAACGCCGCGUGAGUGAAGAAGGUUUUCGGAUCGUAAAGCUCUGUUGUUGGUGAAGAAGGCUAGAGGCAGUAACUGGUCUUUAUUUGACGGUAAUCAACCAGAAAGUCACGGCUAACUACGUGCCAGCAGCCGCGGUAAUACGUAGGUGGCAAGCGUUGUCCGGAUUUAUUGGGCGUAAAGCGAGCGCAGGCGGAAUGAUAAGUCUGAUGUGAAAGCCCACGGCUCAACCGUGGAACUGCAUCGGAAACUGUCAUUCUUGAGUGCAGAAGAGGAGAGUGGAAUUCCAUGUGUAGCGGUGGAAUGCGUAGAUAUAUGGAAGAACACCAGUGGCGAAGGCGGCUCUCUGGUCUGCAACUGACGCUGAGGCUCGAAAGCAUGGGUAGCGAACAGG